rnacentral:rRNA from 1 species
CGUAGGGUGCGAGCGUUAAUCGGAAUUACUGGGCGUAAAGCGUGCGCAGGCGGUUUGUUAAGAUAGGCGUGAAAUCCCCGGGCUCAACCUGGGAACUGCGCUUAUGACUGGCAAGCUAGAGUACGGCAGAGGGGGUGGAAUUCCACGUGUAGCAGUGAAAUGCGUAGAGAUGUGGAGGAACACCAAUGGCGAAGGCAGCCCCCUGGGUCGAUACUGACGCUCAUGCACGAAAGCGUGGGUAGCAAACAGGAUUAGAUACCCUGGUAGUCCACGCCCUAAACGAUGUCAACUAGGUGUUGGGAGGGUAAAAUCUUUUAGUACCGGAGCUAACGCGUGAAGUUGACCGCCUGGGGAGUACGGCCGCAAGGUUA